rnacentral:rRNA from 1 species
UACGGGGGGGCAAGGCGUUGUUCGGAAUUACUGGGCGUAAAGGGCGCGUAGGCGGUCCGCUAAGUUCGGCGUGAAAUCCCCUGGCUCAACUGGGGAACUGCGCUGGAUACUGGUGGACUCGAGUACCGGAGAGGAGAGUGGAAUUCCUGGUGUAGUGGUGAAAUGCGUAGAGAUCCGGAGGAACACCAGUGGCGAAGGCGGCUCGCUGGACCUGACCUGACGCUGAGGCGCGAAGGCGGUGGGGA